rnacentral:rRNA from 1 species
AGAGUUUGAUCCUGGCUCAGGACGAACGCUGGCGGCGUGCCUAAUACAUGCAAGUCGAGCGGACUGAUUAAGAGCUUGCUCUUAUGACGUUAGCGGCGGACGGGUGAGUAACACGUGGGCAACCUGCCCUGUAGACUGGGACAACAUCGAGAAAUCGAUGCUAAUACCGGAUAAUAUCUGAGAUCGCAUGAUCUCGGGUUAAAAGAUGGCUCCGGCUAUCACUACAGGAUGAGCCCGCGGCGCAUUAGCUAGUUGGUAAGGUAAUGGCUUACCAAGGCGACGAUGCGUAGCCGACCUGAGAGGGUGAUCGGCCACACUGGGACUGAGACACGGCCCAGACUCCUACGGGAGGCAGCAGUAGGGAAUCUUCCGCAAUGGACGAAAGUCUGACGGAGCAACGCCGCGUGAGUGAUGAAGGGUUUCGGCUCGUAAAGCUCUGUUGUUAGGGAAGAACAAGUGUCGUUCAAAUAGGGCGGCACCUUGACGGUACCUAACCAGAAAGCCACGGCUAACUACGUGCCAGCAGCCGCGGUAAUACGUAGGUGGCAAGCGUUGUCCGGAAUUAUUGGGCGUAAAGCGCGCGCAGGCGGUCUUUUAAGUCUGAUGUGAAAGCCCCCGGCUCAACCGGGGAGGGUCAUUGGAAACUGGGAGACUUGAGUACAGAAGAGGAGAGUGGAAUUCCACGCGUAGCGGUGAAAUGCGUAGAUAUGUGGAGGAACACCAGUGGCGAAGGCGACUCUCUGGUCUGUAACUGACGCUGAGGCGCGAAAGCGUGGGGAGCAAACAAGGAUUAGAUACCCUGGUAGUCCACGCCGUAAACGAUGAGUGCUAGGUGUUAGGGGUUUCGAUGCCCUUAGUGCCGAAGUUAACACAUUAAGCACUCCGCCUGGGGAGUACGACCGCAAGGUUGAAACUCAAAGGAAUUGACGGGGGCCCGCACAAGCAGUGGAGCAUGUGGUUUAAUUCGAAGCAACGCGAAGAACCUUACCAGGUCUUGACAUCCUUUGACAAUCCUAGAGAUAGGACUUUCCCCUUCGGGGGACAAAGUGACAGGUGGUGCAUGGUUGUCGUCAGCUCGUGUCGUGAGAUGUUGGGUUAAGUCCCGCAACGAGCGCAACCCUUGAUCUUAGUUGCCAGCAUUUAGUUGGGCACUCUAAGGUGACUGCCGGUGAUAAACCGGAGGAAGGUGGGGACGACGUCAAAUCAUCAUGCCCCUUAUGACCUGGGCUACACACGUGCUACAAUGGAUGGUACAAAGAGCAGCAAAACCGCGAGGUCGAGCCAAUCUCAUAAAGCCUUUCUCAGUUCGGAUUGUAGGCUGCAACUCGCCUACAUGAAGCCGGAAUUGCUAGUAAUCGCGGAUCAGCAUGCCGCGGUGAAUACGUUCCCGGGCCUUGUACACACCGCCCGUCACACCACGAGAGUUUGUAACACCCGAAGUCGGUGGGGUAACCUUUUGGAGCCAGCCGCCUAAGGUGGGACAGAUGAUUGGGGUGAAGUCGUAACAAGGUAGCCGU